GGUAUUUGAAAAUUAGUGAAAAUAAGCCAAAAUCAAAAUUUAAAAUAUGACCUUGACCUUUAACCUUGGCCUCAUUUUCAUUUUUUUUGGACCAAGGACCUCAAAUCUGAAGACCCUAGGUCUCUAUCCCUUAUGGUUUACUAGUUAGAAAUGCAUAUAACUUGAAUCAAAUGAAAAAGGGGGAAUAACUCUCAUAUGGAGUCUCCGUAAAGCUUAGGUCCAAAUGAAUAUCCUAAUCUUUAAGAUGUAAUGAGCAAUUUGGUAAAAUAAAUUUGUCGUACUUUUUUACGGUUGCGAAGGAGUAGUGGCCACAAGAAAAACAGUGUUUGGGGAGAUAACUCUUACAACGUAAAGUAUUUUGUUACGCUGUUGUAAAUUUUUAAAGCGUAUAAACUAUACGAUAUCAUGUUUCAAAUAUCAAAGCGACAUCUUUUGAAACAUCAAUAUUACGCAAGAAGAAAAAUUAGGCGGAAGAAAAAAAAAAAAAAAAAUAAUAAUAAUAAUAAUAAUCAGAAGAAAUCCAAUAGGUCUUUCCACGGAAAGGUGGAAAGACCUAAUAAUCAGAACAAAUUCAAUAGGUCUUUCCACGGAAAAGUGGAAAGACCUAAUAAUAAUAAUCAGAACAAAUUCAAUAGGUCUUUCCACGGAAAGGUGGAAAGACCUAAUAAUAAUAAUAAUAAUAAUAAUCAGAACAAACCCUAUAGGUCUUUCACCUGAAAGGUUGAAAGACCUAAUAAUAAUCAGAACAAAUACAAUAGGUCUUUCAACAGAAAGGUUGAAAGACCUAAUAAUGUCAACCAG
rnacentral:lncRNA from 1 species